rnacentral:lncRNA from 1 species
ACUUUUCGAUCUGUUAGAAUUAGGCUCUGUGCUUCCCUUUGGUGCUCAGAGAACAAAAGUGAUUCUCUCCAUGAUCAGAGGUGGAAUUGGCUCUUUCUAGCCUCCUCCUCACUGAAGACAGGAACUAUUCUUCAGGCCCCCUGAACUGUUUCUUCUUUUUUGGCUAUGGUGAUGGUUUCCAAAGAGAACUCUGCUUGUAGUAUCAACCCUCCAGACGUUAGGAGAGUUACUUGAAAAAAUAGUGUUAUGUUCAGCGAGCUUGGGAAGAGUUGGAAAAGAAUUCACAAAUGAAUGGUUGGUGUACACACUGCAAGGCUUCUCAGUGUUUAUCGCCAGUAAUAGAGUUUUUUCAAGCUUAUUUGACCAAAUAACUUUUUUUUUUUUUUUCCCAAGGAACGGUUUGUGACACUAGCUUACCAGAGAAUACAUUGUGGGAAAUGCUCUGCUCCAAAGCCGAAGAGCUAAGGCUCUUUGCGUAUCCAAUAAGCACCUGACACCUCCUCCCUCCCUUUCAGUUUCCAUAAUAGAAGAUGUGAAAACUAAAUGAAACGCAUGCUUUCUUACACUGUUUUGCAUCUAGGGGUAGCUAUUAUAUGAGACAGUCUGGGCCAGUAACACCUAAAGGCAAUUCUUAGCGGACUCUUACAAGAAUACUGAUUUCCCUUGUAAGGGGGUGCCAUGCAUGGAGCUCUUGCACAUACAUCAGUAAGAGGCCUGAGGAAGUUGGCUCCGGCAUAGGUGAGCGCUGGAGGAAUGCUAGGAACAGUCUAUGCAUACUUUUAGUAACACGUAGAAAUGAAAAGCAAACAAGUCAUAUAAAGUCUCUGAAAAGCAAGUUUACUUGCAGCUGAACACUCUUCUAAAAGAUUUAUCUACCAUCUAUUGAGUGCUUUCCUUGUGUUCCUAGGAAGCAUUUAAUACAUAUGAAUUCGGCCACUCCUCACAACACUGUAAUACCAUUUCACAGGUGAGGAAGCAGACUUAAGUACCUUGUUCAAAUUCACACAGAUGAUGGACUAACCUUUGGAAAUGUAGCCACUAUAACCCCAGAAGUUAUUAAUGUUUCUCAUUUUAAAUUAGGCAGUUAGUGUCCUCUUUUAAAACAGAGCCCUCACCGUCUGCCAUGAGAUGUGGAAGAGACAUGUAUAAGCCUUUUCAGAGAGAGGGCCCGCACCCAGUGUAGCUUUACAGCAGCCAGUGUGGGUUUACGGCACCCAGUGCAGAUUUACGGCAGCCAGUGUGGGUUUACGGCAGCCUGCCUCUUCACACAUUGCAUGGAGGGGAGCAGAGCCAGGCAGGCGUGGCAGCUUCUCUCCAGAGACUGACAUCCACAGACUAAGGUUACACCGUUAAGCUCACUUUAGAUCCCAGUAGUGGGCCCAUUGGCAUAUUACAGGAUGCAAACCUGAGGAGCGCAACUAAUGAAGGUAAUUCAGACUAAAGUGUGAAAAUACUGGGAGCACCCGAGUCCACUUGUUUGCCUUUAAAUAAGCCCCAGUGUGCCAGGUAACGUGAUAU